ACAGGAAGCGCAUGGCAUAAAAUGUUUGUGGAGAGCUCGGAUGGCCCUCUCACUCGGCCCUGAGGAAAAGGACACUGUGGCCACGGCUCCUAAUCUCCCAGAGACGCAACUGAGGCGUGAACAUCCUGAUCCGUCCCCACACAGCUGAUCCACAUUCCACAAUUCACCCCUCCAGUAUUUAGACCCGGGCUGCGAUCGUUACACACCCCCACAUGAUCCCGCUGUCCCCGUUCCCACCUGCCGUGCCGGCUGCCUCGCGGCGCUCCGGCGUCCUCACCCGGCUGUCCCCUUCCCUUGGAAUCCGCACUCAUUAAUUCACUUCUACGGAUUAUCAUCGUCCUGUGUGAAUCUCUGGGUGCCGGGUCUGAUAUCCAGCCUUAACAUCACUGCCCCAUGGCGUUAAUUGCAAUCAAACCCCCUCAGAUGUAUCAUCUGACUCCUGGGAGCCAUUCGUGAUAUUUGUGUACAACACUGGGCCAAUCUCAGGUUUAUUGUUGUGUAUUACUGUGAGAGGGAGUCUACCUAAGGGGGCACGGGUGCAAUUGACACGGGGUAAUGAUGCAUGGGUGACGGGGAGAUCGCACCGUUUUUACCGCUACCAGGAUGCGCAGCGAGAUCACGGACUAAAUAUAGAUGCAGUUGUGUUUCAUAAAAUAAAAAACUAAUAAACGGGAACUUCACCCGAAGAAAACAAAAAUACUUGGAAUCUUUGUGUGAGCGAGUGAGGAACAGGAUCUUCACCCAGCCGAGUGGCUCAAGAAAAUCUGUCAGCACACAACUAAAAACCCGAUCUCACCUGGAGAAUCGAGAUCAUCUGGAAUACACACCUGGAAGACAGCCCUGCCGAUGCGAUCUGCAUGGACUUCCAAACGAGCGUGGGUCGACCAUCGCCACGUAGGAAGCAAGAAUCACGGACGCCGGGCGAAGCGGCCCCCGGUUGGUACUCCGGUAUGGAUUUACGUUGCCUGUUUGAAACGGCAUCGCACAUGCGACAUUAGACUGCUCUGAGGAUUAUGCUGUAUUGCAUUCAUGACAAUAUCGAUUCUGUGGACUUUCAACGAUUGUAUGUACAUCGAAGGAAAAUAUUGCGCUUCAUGUCACGU
ensembl:lncRNA